GCUUCUCCUAAAGCAGAAAGCACUGUGACCACCCUCAGUCACAAGAUUCUGGGCAUAGGCUGGCCUCACAGGGCUACAAAGACCCCACCUUGGCAGAGAUGCGGACAUCUUCCUGAGACUGGGCCUGGGUUAAUUCUGCUUUAAUUUAUUAUGUCACUAUUAUUAAUUUAUUAUGGCUAUUGAUUAGAGUCCUACAGGCACCAGGUCCAAUAUCAGAGGUGAUGAGAAGCCACAUAGGAACAAGUGGUCCCUGAGACUCACCACAGAUUCUCAGAACAACUCCUGCGGGUCACACUCAGAACUGUGUGAGUCAAAGAAGCAAACAACUAAAGCACUCUGGGAAAGAAAUGUUCUACACAGUGAAGUGACAGGAAGGAGAACGGUAGGACUCUGAAGCCGUGAUGAUUUAAGCCAAAUCCCAGGGCAGAGAGACUGUAAGCACAGUAUUUACUACCCAGCGACUGACCCUGGACUGUGGACUGUUCGCUCUGGUUGCUGAAGUUCAUUUGUACUCAGGAAGGCCUUAACCUUCUGUCUCGGCCUCCACGCUGUGCCACCAUGACUCUGCCAGCAGUUCAGAACAUCGUCUGUAGGGACACCACCACCAUCUCCAAACCUCCCCUCCCCUGCACCUACAUUGGGGAAGUCCAGGCCCAGUUUGAACUUCUCAUUCAGCCACUGGCUUCUGUCAAAGUCGGGAGCUGUGGUGAACAAGAUAAUAUGAAAUCAAAGGACCCAUGUGUUCAAACCCCUUUCCCAAGACUUUCCCAAAGACUCAGAGACAAGACUCUCCAAGGCAGUACACCUGCAAGCUGACUCACGAAGUCACACUGCAAGCUUUCAAGAUUG